rnacentral:rRNA from 1 species
AGAGUUUGAUCCUGGCUCAGGAUAAACGCUGGCGGCGUGCCUAACACAUGCAAGUCGAACGCUCUCUCGGCAACGAGAGGGAGUGGCGGACGGGUGAGCAACACGUGGGUGGACCUACCCGCAAGUGAGGGAUACCGGCGAGAAAUCGCCGACAAUACCGCAUAGGCUCGGGGGACCGAGCAAAGCUGGGGAACUGGCGC